rnacentral:rRNA from 1 species
GACGAACGCUGGCGGCGUGCUUAACACAUGCAAGUCGAGCGGUAAGGCCUUUCGGGGUACACGAGCGGCGAACGGGUGAGUAACACGUGGGUGACCUGCCUUUAGCUUCGGGAUAAGCCUGGGAAACCGGGUCUAAUACCGGAUAUGACCUCAUGUCGCAUGGUGUGGGGUGGAAAGUUCUUCGGCUAGAGAUGGGCCCGCGGCCUAUCAGCUUGUUGGUGGGGUGAUGGCCUACCAAGGCGACGACGGGUAGCCGGCCUGAGAGGGCGACCGGCCACACUGGGACUGAGACACGGCCCAGACUCCUACGGGAGGCAGCAGUGGGAAUCUUGCGCAAUGGGCGAAAGCCUGACGCAGCGACGCCGCGUGAGGGAUGACGGCCUCGGUU